GACGAACGCUGGCGGCGUGCCUAAUACAUGCAAGUCGAGCGCAAAGGCCUGGUACUUGUGGGGACUGCAAGUGGAGAACGGGUGUGAAUCACGUGUGUAACAUGCCCUUGUCUUCGGGGUACCUCAUGGAAACUGGGAUUAUAAUCGCGCAUAAACUCCUGAUGCACAGGGGGGAAGGGAGAAAUUCGCCGUUGCGGGAUGGAAUCGCGGCUUAGCGGCUUGUUGGUGAGGUAGUGGCGUACCAAGGCGUUGAGGGGAAGCCGGCCUGAGAGGGUGACCGGCCACAUUGGGCUUGAGGUACGGCCCAGACUCCUACGGGAGGCAGCAGUGGGGAAUAGUGCACAAUGGGCGGAAGCCUGAUGCAGCAACGCCGCGUGCUGGAUGACGGCCUUCGGGUUGUAAACCGCGUUCGCCUGUGACGAAGCGUGAGUGACGGUAAUGGGUAAGGAAGCAACGGCUAACUACGUG
rnacentral:rRNA from 1 species